rnacentral:lncRNA from 1 species
UUUCCCUUCUAUGGCAACAUCAAAUUCCCACUCUAACAUGUACUUAAGAACAUUAGGUAUUUUUACCGAUUAUGUCGUUUUACUCGUUUUCACUUAAAAUCGCUUAGCAAAAGUUGUUUAACAUAAUUUCUAGCUUCAUGUUCUAUCAUAAAACAUCAAAAUAAACACUUUUCACCUAUGGGUAUUUUUCCAAAUAUAAACCCUAAGUUAAAUUAUUGCUAGAAUAAGCUAAAUUAAGCUACCGGGAUCUCAAAAACGUAAAGAACAUUAAAAACGGGGCUUGAGAUCACUUACUAUGGAGAUUGGAAGCUUGAAAACCCUAACUAUGGCUCCCCCCUUGCUGAUUUCGUCCUAAUGAAGAAGAUGAUGAUUUUUGCCAUCUUUUUCCCUUUUAAUUCUUUUUAUUACUAGAUUACCAAAUUGCCCCUAACUUAAAAAUUUUCUAUUUCACUUAUUUCAUAUCCAUUUUUGUCUACCAAGUUACCAAUGGUCUAAUUACCAUAUAAGGACCUUAAAUUUAAAGUUUCAUAACAAUUGGACACCUCUAACAUGUAGAACUCAACUUUUUCACUUUUUACAAUUUAGUUUUUUUGACUAAAUUGAGUGCCCAAACGUCGAAAUUUUCGAACGAAAUUUUCACGAAAUCAUUUUGUGAAAUCAUAGACCAUAAAAAUAUAAGAAAAAUAAAAUUUACUCAUCAGAUUUGUGGUCCCGAAACCACUGUUCCGAUAAUCUUAAAUUUAGGCCAUUACAACUCUCCCCCCAUUUUUGGAUUUUCGUCCUCGAAAAUCUUACCAGUAACACUUUCACUAGAUUUACCUUUUUGUUUCUAAGCUCCUUUGUUUCUCGUGCUAGGAUUUUAACCGGCUCUUCACUAUAAGUCAUAUCCGGCUGAAUUUCUAUUUCUGUUGGAGUAAUAACAUGUGAAGGAUCUGAUCGAUACCGCCGAAGCAUAGAUACAUGAAAAACAUUAUGAAUUCUAUCGAGUUCCGGUGGUAAAGCCAAUCGAUACGCAACCGGUCCAAUUCUUUCUAUGAUUUCAUAUGGUCCGAUAAAUCUUGGACUCAAUUUACCCUUUCGACCGAACCGAAGAACUUUCUUCCAAGGAGACACUUUUAAGAAUACUUUAUCACCCACCUGAAAUUCAAUCUCUUUUCGUUUAAGAUCGGCAUAUGACUUCUGACGAUUGGAAGCUGCUUUUAGACUAUCCUGAAUCAACCUUACUUUUUCUUCUGCUUCCCGGAUCAAAUCAACCCCGUGUAUCUUCUUUUCACUUAGCUCUGUCCAAUAUAACGGUGUUCUACAUUUUCUACCAUACAAAGCUUCAUAUGGAGCCAUUUUAAUACUGGACUGAUAACUGUUAUUGUAAGCAAAUUCAAUCAAAGGUAGAUACCUUUCCCAAUUACCUUGAAACUCUAAUACACAACAUCGGAGCAUAUCUUCCAAUACCUGAAUUACACGCUCAGAUUGACCAUCUGUCUGAGGAUGAAAUGCAGUACUGAAAUGCAACUGAGUACCCAAAUCUUCUUGCAAUUUGUCCCAGAAACGAGACGUAAAUCGAGGAUCUCUAUCUGAUAUAAUGGAGACUGGCACUCCAUGUAGUCUGACAAUCUCAGAUAUAUACAAUUCAGCCAAUUUAUCUAAAGAAUAAUCCAUACAUACCAGAAUAAAGUGCGCGGACUUUGUCAAUCGAUCGACAAUUACCCAAAUGGCAUCUUUCUUCUUUGGAGACAUCGGUAACCCAGAUACAAAAUCCAUAGUGACUCUUUCCCAUUUCCAUUCCGGUAUAGUGAUUGGUUGAAGUAACCCCGAAGGCACUUGAUGUUCAGCUUUAACUUGUUGACAUACUAAACACUUUGAUACAAAUUCAGAGAUAUCACGUUUCAUACCUGGCCACCAAUACAUCUUUUUCAAGUCAUUAUACAUUUUAUUACUCCCCGAAUGUACAGACAUAGUACCGCUGUGGGCCUCGUGUAGAAUCUUCUGUAUAAGCUCGGAAUUCUUCGGUACACAUACUCUGCCUUUGAAUAAUAAACAACCAUCAGUCCCAGUCUGAAAUUCUGAAUCAUUAUCGGAUUCACAAUGUACCCGUUUAGCCUGUAACUUCUCAUCAUUUCUCUAAGCUUCACAAAUUUGUUGACGAAAUAUCGAUUUCGCUCUCAUUUCAGCUAUGAUUAAACCAUCAUCAGCCAGUGACAACCGGGCAUUCAUAGCUCGUAAAGCAAACAGAGAUUUCCGGCUCAAAGCAUCAGCUACCACAUUAGCCUUACCCGGAUGAUAAUCAAUAACCAAAUCAUAAUCCUUUAUCAAUUCAAGCCACCUGCGUUGUCUCAAAUUCAAAUCUUUCUAUGUCAUCAAAUAUUUCAAGCUUUUGUGAUCAGUAUAAAUAUGACACUUUUUACCAUACAAAUAAUGUCGCCAUAUUUUCAAUGCAAAUACAAUAGCAGCUAACUCGAGAUCAUGUAUCGGGUAAUUUCUUUCAUGUGGCUUAAGUUGUCUUGAAGCAUAGGCUAUUACUUUAUCUUCUUGCAUCAAGACACAACCCAAACCAUUUAAUGAUGCAUCACUAUAAAUAAUAAAUUCCUUACCCGAUUCAGGCUGUACCAACACUGGUGCUUCCGUCAACAAUUUCUUCAAUCGGUCAAAACUUUGCUGGCAUUUUUCUGUCCAUUCAAAUUUAACAUCUUUCUGUAAUAAAUGGGUCAUCGGAGAAGCUAUCAUAGAAAACCCCUGUACAAAUCUCCGAUAAUAUCCAGCUAAUCCCAAGAAACUUCUAACUUCAGAUACAUUCUUCGGUGGACUCUAAUUGACAAUGGCUGAAAUUUUACUCGGAUCUACCCUGAUGCCUUCUGCAGAUACAAUAUGUCCAAGAAAACCUACCUCUCAAAGCCAAAAUUCACAUUUACUAAAUUUAGCAUAAAGCUUCUUUUCACGCAGUGUAACAACCCGGUUUUGACUCUAAUCGGAUAUAGUGGUUUCGGGACCACAAGUCCGAGUCAAAAAAAUAUUUUAAUAUUAUUUUGUGUGUUUAUUAUGUGUGAAUUUAAUUGUGUGAAAUUUUCGAGUUUUAAUUUUGUCGUUUGAGUGUCCGGUUAAAUAAAAGGAUUAAAUUGCUUAAAAUAAAAAUUCAGGGGUUAAAUCUAAAAGUACCUAAUUGUUGUUGUCUUUUUAAAAUAGGGGAUUUAUGAUGCAAUUAGACUAAAACAUAGAUAGUGGGUGGCAAAGGACUAAUAUAACCUUAUUAUAUAUGUUUUGUUUAUUAAUUAUUAAAGGUUAUUUUAGUAACUAAAAUAAAUGAUAGUAUAUGCUAAAAAAUAAUAAUAAAGCCAUUUUAUCAUCUUUUCUAGCCGAAUUUGAACAAAAGAAAAAAAAAGGAAGAAAGCUAGCUAGGUUCGGCCAUUGUUGUGUUUAAAUUUAAGGUUAGUUCUUUGUUCGGUUUUUGAUAAUUUUUAUGUUUUUGAGAUCGAUGCUUCGAAUACUUUAAAACCCAUGUAUUAAUUUUGUGAAUUGUUGAUGAUUUUGAAAUGUGCCAUUGAUGAAUGUUUGAGUUUUGUGAUGUUAGUUGAUGAAAUAUGAAAUAUAUGUGUUAGAUUAACAUGUUUUGUCUUUGAAUUUUUAGUGAAUUUGAGUAAUUAGAGUUAAAUUGUGAAAAUAAAAUUUUGAGGGACUAAAAUAUGAAAUAAAUGCAAUGUGUGGACUUGUAUGAGAACCAUGAAUAUUCGGCUUUUGUGUGGUAUGGGCAAAUUUUGUGUAUUUUGUGUUUUGUGCAAAAAGGACUAAAUUGCAAAAAGUGCAAAAUGUUAGGGGCAAAAUGGUGAUUUUCCCAUUUAUGUAUUUUUGAACUUAAUUGAAUGUUUUGAUGAAUAAAAAGGUUAAAUUUGAUUAUGUUUAGAUCAAGAAACAAAGAAAACGAAUUUGGAUCGGGGAAAAACGAAAGUAAUCGAAUAGUCGAUCGUGUCCGCUGAUAUCCGAGGUAAGUCUGUUAGCAAAAAUUCAUGUUAUCAAAUCAAUAUAUAUAAGUAUAUUUAUUUUAUAAUUAAUGAGUUAUAAUUACAAGUAUACAAUUUAUGUUAGUUGAUGUGUGAAUUUCAUACAUAUACAUGUGAUGUUCGAAUAGAUAUGUAAGUAAAAGUAAAAAUUUUUGGAUCCAAUUAAAAGUUCAAAUGUUAUGGUUGUGUUUAUAUAAUGUGCGAAUAUAUAUAUGUGUGUAAUAUAUAUAUGUGGAUCGAACAAGUUUGCAUAUACAUGUAUGAUACUUUAUAUGGAUUUGGGAAUGAAAUUAUGGAUGUAUAUAUAUUAGAUUCGAAUAUGUAUGAGUAUACAAAUAUAAAUUCAUGCUUUGAUUAUGAGGACGUAAUUAUACAUGUAUAUGAUAGACUCAAAAAUAUAUAUAUAAAUGUAUUCGGUUGAAUCAUUGAAUUUUUAAGUUUGGAAUUGGUGAAUUGAAUCAGGUUAUAAACCUAGCAGGCUAAGUGCCGGUGAUUUGAAUCAGGCUAUAAGCCUAGCAGGCUAAGUGCCGGUGAUAUGAAUCAGGUUAUAAACCUAGCAGGCUAAGUGCCAGUGAUCUGAAUCAGGCUAUAAGCCUAGCAGGCUAAGUGCCGGUGAUCCGAAUAUGAUGAAUUAAGUGAUUCUAAGCAUUUGGUAUAAAUAUAGAUAUGAUUUUAUAUGAAAUGGAUGAAUGUAUGAACAUUGUUUCAAGAUGUUGAUGAGUAUAUAAUUGUUCGAAUCUUUGUGAUUAGUGAGUAUAUAUAUAUCUCGGAUGUCAUGAAAAUUGUUGGAUAUUAAUGUGUGCAUAUUUAGGCAUUCGGCAUAGGUGGAUAUAUAUUUGUAUGCAUUCGGCAUAGAUAGAUAUAAGUGUAUAUAUGUAUGCAUUCGGCAUAGGUGGGUAUAAGUGAAUAUGUGCAUUCGGCCUUUAUAGUUUAUAAGUAUAAAAAUUAUGCUUUUGGUGUAUGUAAUUGAACAAUUAUAUAUAUAAAUGGAUCCGAUGAAGUACGAACAACAAGUACUCUAGAAAUCUGUAUAUGCAGAUAAUGAUUAUGUUAGUAAUUUGAUUUUAUGCAUAUAAUGUAUAUACCUUUGUCCGUUUAUGUAUAUUAGUUAAAUAUACAUUCUUUUAGAUUUAAACGAAAUGACUUAAUAUAGAAAUGUUUGGUUAGUAAUUAUAUUUGAUAUUUGUGAUUUCGAUAAAUUUACUUAAAUAAUUAUGUGAUUCUUUUAUAUGUAUUUUUAAAUACGCUAUAGACUUACUAAGCUAUAAAAGCUUACUUUGGUUAUCUUUGUCUAUCUAUUCUUAUAGAUUUUGGAGACGCGUUACGAGCUCGAGGAUCAUCAGCAUGGUCUAUCACACUAUCGACCGUCUUUAGUAUUUUAUAUAUUUUGAACUCGAACCUAUGGCAUGUAUAGUCUAGUUAAUAUGUUUAAAUUUUUUUGAUAUGUGAAUAUGAGCCAUGCGAAAAUGGCUUGUCUCUUUUCGUUUUGAAUUUGGUAUUAACGAAUAUGUUUUAAUGGUCUAUUUCCUAUGCUUAAAUUCGGUUUAGUUAAAAAUGGCUUGAUCAUUAUGUUUAAACUUAGUUUUAUAUAUUCUAGGUUGAAUGUUCAAUGUGAUUGAUUUAAAUGAUUCGACCAUGGUAUAAGUCUAUUUGUAUAAAUGAUAAUUAGUAUGAUUGAUAAUUUGAUUAUAUUUCUUGAUUGGUUACAUCAUGAAUAAAUUAUGAAUUAGUUUGUAUUAGUAAGUUUGAAACAUAGUAAAAAUGCUUGUAAGUUUUUAUUAAACAAUUCGGCUAAAGAGUAUGAAAGAACAUAAUGUACAUUUGAUCAUGAUCUAACCUUAAUUUGAAGUGGUGUUUAUGCUGUAAAUUAGUUAAGGGAUGAGUUUCGGUUGUGCUAUGAUAUUGAAUUGACGGAUAUGUAUGUUUUGUAUUAAUAAUUGGUGUGGAUAAAAAAAAUGGUUGUGUUGUUCGGUAAUGCCUUGUAAUCCUAAUACGGCGACGUAUACGGGUUAGGGGUGUUACACGCAGAAUUUGCAACACUAUUUUCAAAUGUUCUGCAUGCUCAUUUUCAUCUCGAGAAUAGACUAAAAUAUCAUCAAUGAAAACUACUACAAACCUGUCUAGAUACAGUCUGAAUAUCCUGUUCAUCAAAUCCAUAAAUACUGCAGGUGCAUUAGUCAGCCCAAAUGGCAUAACCAGAAACUCAUAAUGCCCAUACCUGGUUCUGAAAGCUGUCUUUGGCACAUCUGACUCUUUUACCCGUAACUAAUAAUAACCAGAUCGGAGAUCAAUCUUCGAAAAUACUGUGGCACCUUUCAACUGAUCAAAUAAGUCAUCAAUUCGAGGCAACAGGUACUUUUUCUUUAUAGUUACCUUAUUAAGCUGCCGAUAGUCGAUACACAAUCUCAAAGACCCAUCUUUUUUUUUCACAAACAGAACCGGAGCACCCCAAGGUGAAUGACUCAGACGAACAAAACCUCUGUCAACAAGUUCCUGUAACUGUGCCUUUAACUCUUUUAAUUCUGUAGGAGCCAUACGAUAUAAAGCUAUAGAAAUUGGGGCAGUUCCCGAAAUCAGAUCUAUGGAAAAUUCCACUUCUCUUUCCGGUGGAAACCCUGGUAACUCCUCUGGAAACACAUCAGAAAAUUCACAUACAACUGGCACUGCCUGUAUCUUUGACUCAGAUACCUUAGUAUCCAACACAUACGCCAAAUAAACAUCAUACCCUUUUCUGACACACCUCUGAGCAGUCAUAACUGAAAUCAUAUCAGAUAAUCCCUCUGUCUGAUUAGAUUUAACCCGAAGUAAUUCUCCAUUUUGGCACUUCAACACAACAUAUUUUUGUUUACAAUUUACUACUGCAUCAUGUUGAGUUAACCAAUCUAUGCCCAAUAUUACAUCAAACUCAUCAAAAGGUAAUAACAUCAAGUCAACCGGGAAGCAAAUAUCUUUUACCAUCAGUGGACAAUUUUUACAAACUUUAUCCACCAUCACAAACUGGCCCAGGGGGUUCGAGACUUUAACCACAAAUUUAGUAGGUUCAACAGAUAAAUUUUUAACAAAUGCUAAUUUUGUGCAUAUGUAUGAAUGUGUAGAGCCAGGAUCAAUUAAUGCAAUAACAGUAGUAUUAUAGAGAGAAAAUGUACCCGCAAUUACAUCAGGAGAGGACGCCUCUUCACGAGCUCGAAUAGCAUAUGUUCUCGCGAGUGCUCUAACAUCGGGUCUAGCUGCUGAAUCUCUGGAUGCACUCCUGCUACUCACUCUCAGUCCUGGGUUUCUCUGCGGUCUACCUCUGGUAGGAGCAUUUCCUGAUCUUGCACUCAUUAUUUCUUCCCUUUUUGUUGUUUCAGGACAAUCCCGGAUAAAGUGAUCGGACGCUCCACAUCUAAAACAAACAUUUUCACCUGCUCUACACUCUCCGAGGUGGCGUCUACCACAUUGAGGACAUUCCGACCUAGGAGGUCGAGUACUGCCUGUACUUGCAACUGUAGUGGUUUGAGCUCUAAAACCCUCGAAUCUUCUACUUCUACUUCGGCCAGAAUAUCUAUCUGGAAAAUGUGAUCCGCUAGAGAGCUCCCUAGAUCUCUUAGACGUAGACUGAAAUGAUUUACUCAUUUGCCUCUUCUUUGUAUCCUGCGUUUCGGCUUCAGCUUUGCUCUUCUCUUUUUCUUUUAACAAGUCUUCUACUUUACAAGCUCUUUCUACCAGAACAACAAACUCUCUGAUUUCCAAUACACCCACUGAUAGUCGGAUAUCAUCAUUAAGCCCAUCUUCAAAUCUCUUGCACAUGUUGGCUUCGGUGGAUACAAAUUCCCGGGCAUACUUACUAAGUCUGACAAAUUCACGUUCAUACUCAGUCACGGACAUCUUACCUUGUUUUAGCUCAAGAAACUCCUUCCUUUUCUGAUCUAUAAAUCUCUGGCUGAAGUACUUCUUUCUGAACUCCUCCUGAAAGAAAUCCCAGGUCACCCUCUCACUCGGUACUACUGACACGAGGGUCUUCCACCAAUGGUAAGCUGAAUCUCUGAGAAGUGAGACCACACACUUCAUACAUUCUUCCGGUGUACAAGAUAAUUCUUCAAAAACCCUGAUAGUAUUCUCAAGCCAGAAUUCUUCUUUUUCUGCAUCAUUAUCUUUCGUAGCCCGAAAUUCUUCAGCCCCUUGCUUCCUAAUCUUAUCAACAGGUGGUCUCUCCCUGAUGACUAUACCUGCAGCUGGGGAAACUACAUGGGGAACCUAUGAAUCUUGAGGGGGUGGAGGUCUUACAGCAGGAUUCGUACGAACGAACUCGGCAAACCAAUCAUUCAUGACUUGGAAGAAGGCUUCUCUAGCUCCUCCUCUAGCUCCUCCUCCCUGUCUAACUGAUGCAGGUCUUUCACUAACAUUAACAUCUAGUGGCAUCGUCCCUUCUGCGGAAGCAGGCGCAUUACUUUCUACUUCAUCUGUACCAGCUCGUUCAGGAUCCAUAACUAUAAAAGAAAACAUUUUAAAAUCGUCAGGAGUCGUCACACUAUCAAAAUAUAUAAGUAUGGCAUGUAUAGGUAGACUCUUAUUCAUACUGCGUAUUUUCGAGAACCGACUAAACCUGUUCUGAUACCAAAAUUGUAACACCCUUUACCCGAUACCGUUGCCGGAAUCGAGCACGACGCAUUACUUAGCUUAUCUUACUAAUUCGGAGCAUAAAAACUUAGUUUGAAAAUUUAAUUCACUAUUUACCAAAAUUGUAACACCCCUUACCCGAUACCAUUGCCGGAAUCGAGCACGAGGCAUUACUUAGCUUAUCUUACUAAUUCGGAGCAUAAAAACUUAGUUUGAAAAUUUAUUUCACUAUUUACAGUAAAUCUGUCCAAUCACACAGUAGUUACAAAAUUAAGUAUAACUCGAGCUACGGAACUCGAAAUUUAAUUUCGUAAAUUUUUCCUGAAACUAGACUCAUAUUUCUACUUACCAUAAUUUUUUUAGAAUUUUUGGUUUAGCCAAUUAGUACAGUUUAUUAGUUAAAGUCUCCCCUGUUUCACCACCUGCCUGUCCUGACCUCUUGUCACUAAAAAUAAGUUUUCUCACUGUAGGAUUUUCAUAUGAAGUUCUUACUUGUUUUUACAGAAAAUAGACUCAAUAAGGAAUCUAUACAUAUAAACUAAAACUUAUAAAUAUUUUUGUACAAUUUUUAAUGAUUUUCUAAACUCAAAACAGGAGACACCAAAAACUGUUCUGACUCUGUCUCACCAAAAUUCACAUAUCUUAAAAUAUAAAAUUCCUUUUGCUACACCGUUAUUUUUCCAUGAAAAUAGACUCAACAAGAUUUAUUUUCAUAUAUCAUUCACCCUCUAAUUCAUUUUAUACUAUCCUAGUUUAUUUUUCAAAGUCACGUCAUUGUUGCUGCCUGAAUUCUGUUUCUUUGCAAAAUUUUACCCUUUUAUGAUUUUCAUGCAUAGUUUACCCCCCUAGACUUUUUAUAACAACAAACACUUUCAUACUUAACCAUUUUAGCAACCAUUCAUCAUCAAAUACUUACACAUCAUUCUUUAGCAAAAUCAUAAUUACAAACAUGCAAAAUAACUAAAUCCCUAUACAUGCCAUAACUUAAACAUGUUUCAUCAUAAAAUACCGAGUAGUUUUUCUUGAUAGUGUGGACGAUCUCCGACUUCUUUAGGAUCCUUGAAGUAGCCUUGUAAUACUAUAAGAGAAAGAGAAAUAAAAGACGUAAGCAUAAAGCUUAGUAAGUUUACUAGCAAAUAAAUAACAAUAUUUAACACAAAUAAUUAAACUCAAGUGUCUAUAUCUCUAGUUUACUCUUUAGUUAAUCUCAUUCUAGUUCUCUUGCUUAUUUACUUGGAAUACUUGUGUGCAUAACUUACCCUUCUCUUUCUGCAUCGUUGAAUAUCAAUUGAUAAUAUAAUAAGUUCUUAAUUCUUAUAACUUACCUGAGCUUGCCAUUUAUGUUUUUAACUGAACUUUCCUGAACAUGAUUCGUUUAUUGGCCCGUCGAGUUACAUUGGAACAAUAAGGAUACUCGGGUCUCUUCUGGUAAAAAUAUGCCAAAGCCAUGUCCCAGACAUGGUCUUACAUGGGAUGUACUCAUGUCGGUGCCCAUGCCAUGUCCUAGACAUGGUCUUACGGGGGACCUAUCAUCUUGGUGCCAAUGCCAUGUCCCAGACAUGGUCUUACACGGGACCUCUCAUCUCGGUGCCAAUGCCAUGUCCCAGACAUGGUCUUACACGGGACCUCUCAUCUCGGUGCCAACGCCAUGUCCCAGACAUGGUCUUACAUGAGACCUCUCAUGAUCUCAAGGAUGCCUAUACCAUGUCCCAGACAUGGUCUUACAUGGGAUCUCUUUACCCAAAUGUCAUGACAUUUGUAUCCAAUACUAUUCUUAUGUAUCAACGGGACUUUUUAAUUUUUAUUCUCUACCAUUUCAUGCUUGGGUCAUCAUCAAAUAAAUUCAUGAAAUAAUAUAUAAUUACUGAAAAUUAACAACAUUAAUAAUGAUUAUUAAAAUCUUGCAUUUAUUUACUGUAAACUUACCUCGGUACCAAUAUAGCCCAAUUCAUCAACUUAGUCUUCAACUUUAUUCUUUCCUUUGUCUAACCUCGAGUUUCGUUCUUCUUGAUCUAAAAUAGCAAAUUUAACUCAUUUAAUACUCACAUUUAUCAAAACAGCCCUCGACUCUAACUUUUUCAAAAUUACAAUUUUGCCCCUAAACUUUUGCAUAAUUACAUUUUUGCCCCAAGGCCCGGAAAUUAAACUUCAUCCCUUAUUCUUAUGUUUUAUGACAUGCUGAACAUUUUUCCCUUCUAUGGAAACAUCAAAUUCCCACUCUAACAUGUACUUAAGAACAUUAGGUAUUUUUACCGAUUAUGUCGUUUUACUCGUUUUCACUUAAAAUCGCUUAGCAAAAGUUGUUUAACAUAAUUUCUAGCUUCAUAUUCUAUCAUAAAACAUCAAAAUAAACACUUUUCACCUGUGCGUAUUUUUCCAAAUAUAAACCCUAGGUUAAAUUAUUGCUAGAAUAAGCUAAAUUAAGCUACCGGGAUCUCAAAAACGUAAAGAACAUUAAAAACGGGGCUUGGGAUCACUUACUAUGGAGCUUGGAAG